rnacentral:rRNA from 1 species
UGGGGAAUAUUGGGCAAUGGGCGAAAGCCUGACCCAGCAACGCCGCGUGGAGGAAGAAGGUUUUCGGAUCGUAAACUCCUGUCCUCAGGGAAGAGAAGGAGACGGUACCUGAGGAGGAAGCCCCGGCUAACUAUGUGCCAGCAGCCGCGGUAAUACAUAGGGGGCAAGCGUUAUCCGGAUUUAUUGGGCGUAAAGCGUGCGUAGGUGGCUAUUUAAGUCUGGCGUGAAAUGUCACAGCUUAACUGUGAAGGGUCGUUGGAAACUGGGUAGCUUGAAUCCAGAAGAGGUAAGUGGAAUUCCAUGUGUAGCGGUAAAAUGCUUAGAUAUAUGGAGGAACACCAGUGGCGAAGGCGGCUUACUGGUCUGGUAUUGACACUGAGGCACGAAAGCGUGGGUAGCAAACAGGAUUAGAUACCCUGGUAGU